rnacentral:lncRNA from 1 species
GAAGAGAACCAGCAAAUUGAAAAUACCCCGUCAGCUAAAUCUUAUAUGAGAAGUCAAAGAAUGCAAGAUACAGGCGACACCAAGUGUAUUGAAAAUUUUCUAACAUUUUUCUCAGUAAUAAUUAUAAUUCUUACAUUACCAUUUUCUUUGCUGUUUGUUUUGGUGACGGUUCGUCAAUUUGAACGUGCUGUGAUUCUCCGCAAUGGAAAGGUGCUAAAAAAUCGUGCAUAUGGACCUGGACUGAUGUUUUACCUUCCCUGU